rnacentral:rRNA from 1 species
GACGAACGCUGGCGGCGUGCUUAACACAUGCAAGUCGAGCGAGUGGAUUCCCUUCGGGGAUGAAGCUAGCGGCGGACGGGUGAGUAACACGUGGGCAACCUGCCUUAUAGAGGGGGAUAGCCUUCCGAAAGGAAGAUUAAUACCGCAUAACAUCAGAUUAUCGCAUGGUAGACUGAUCAAAGGAGCAAUCCGCUAUAAGAUGGGCCCGCGUCGCAUUAGCUAGUUGGUGAGAUAACGGCUCACCAAGGCGACGAUGCGUAGCCGACCUGAGAGGGUGAUCGGCCACAUUGGGACUGAGACACGGCCCAGAAUCCUACGGGAGGCAGCAGUGGGGAAUAUUGCACAAUGGGGGAAACCCUGAUGCAGCAAUGCCGCGUGAGUGAUGAAGGCCUUCGGGUUGUAAAGCUCUUUGAUCAGGGACGAUAAUGACGGUACCUGAAGAACAAGCCACGGCUAACUACGUGCCAGCCGCCGCCGUAAAAC